rnacentral:misc_RNA from 1 species
GCAGCAAUGCGAACUGGCGCACGGGUGAGUAACGCGUAGGUAAUCCGCCCCAAUCCCCGACAUAACAUCGAGAAAUCGGCGCUAAUAUCGGAUGAGGUCCCGCAAGGGAUCAAAGACUUCGGUCGGAUUGGGAUGAGCCUGCGUCUGAUUAGCUUGUUGGUAGGGUAAAAGCCUACCAAGGCGACGAUCAGUAGCUGGUCUGAGAGGACGAUCAGCCACACUGGAACUGAGACACGGUCCAGACUCCUACGGGAGGCAGCAGUGGG